CAAUAGGUGACUGAAAGUAAGUAAAGGUCUCUUAAACCUCUCAAUAAUAAUGUAACGCCUAUUCCUAUUGA
rnacentral:tRNA from 1 species